rnacentral:rRNA from 1 species
GACUACAGGAUUCCCCUAGUAACGGCGAGUGAAGCGGGAAAAGCUCAAAUUUGAAAUCUGGCGGUCUCAGGCCGUCCGAGUUGUAUUCUAGAGAGGCGUCUUCCGCGCCGGACCGUGUACAAGUCCCUUGGGAUAGGGCGUCAUAGAGGGUGAGAAUCCCGUCCAUGACACGGACCGCCGGUGCUUUGUGAUGCGCCUUCAAAGAGUCGAGUUGUUUGGGAAUGCAGCUCAAAAUGGGUGGUAAAUUCCAUCUAAAGCUAAAUACAGGCGAGAGACCGAUAGCGAACAAGUACCGUGAGGGAAAGAUGAAAAGCACUUUGGAAAGAGAGUUAAACAGUACGUGAAAUUGUUGAAAGGGAAACGCUUGGAGUCAGUCGCGUCCGCCGGGACUCAGCUGGGCUUUUGCCCGGUGCACUUCUCGGUGAUGGGCAGCAUCGAUUUCAGCUGCCGACAGGCGGGAGGAUGUGCACUCGGUGGUAUAGCUCUC